ACAAAAUUUUUACAAAAAAGUGUAAAAGCUCAUUUAUUUAAAAAGUAUAGAUAACUGUUCACCACGUAGCUCUUGUAAUCGUUUUACUCGUCUCCCGUAAGAAUGAAAAAUAUUGGAAUAUUUUUAUUUCUUUGCUUACUUAUGGAGGUAACAUCUAUAUGUCGUCCUAUCACAUAUAGUGCUCGGAACUGUCAAAAGAUAUGCAAACUUACGGCUGGCUGUUUUCAAUUUACAUGGAACAGUAAAAAUCUUGCUUGUUUUCUUAAGGGAAGGGUUGGUGCUAUAGGUAAACACAGAAAAGAAGCCUAUUCAGGAACUCGCUUUGCACCAAUAGAAAAAGGCAUAGAUUAUUAUGGAGGAGAUUUAGAAGACUGUUGCUCGACUUAAUAAAAUAAAAUAAAAAUGUCUAGAAAAGAAAAAAGGAAAAUGUGCACAACAAAACAUUUUAGGUUUUGGUUAAGAAAACUGUAUAUUUUUAUUUUAGCUUUAGUUGUUAUAAAAAAAAAAAACCGUUAGGCGCACAUGCCAGUUUGAAGCACUUAUGCCAAUUAGACGCAGUUAUGCCAGCUUGCUUUUAUAAAGCACAAUUUCCUAAUUAUACCAGUUUAUACUUGCACAGAAUAUAAAUUGUA
rnacentral:lncRNA from 1 species